rnacentral:rRNA from 1 species
CCCUUAGAUGUUCUGAACCGCACGCGUGUUACACUGAUGCAUUCAACGAGCUUUACCUUGGCCGAGAGGCCUGGGAAAUCUUUUUAGCAUGCAUCGUGAUAGGGAUUGAUUAUUGCAAUUAUUAAUCAUGAACGAGGAAUUCCUAGUAAACGCAUUUCAUCAAAAUGCAUUGAUUACGUCCCUGCCCUUCGUACACACCGCCCGUCGCACCUACCGAUUGAGUGGUCCGGUGAAGUCUCGAGAUUGUGGCAAUCUCCUUUAUUGGAGUUUGACUGCGAGAACUUGCCUAAACCUUAUCACUUAGAGGAAGGUGAAGUCGUAACA